UGUGGAGGCUAUAUACAGGGUAUUACGGUACAGAGUCAAUGUGGAGACUAUAUACAGGGGGUACCGAUACAGAGUCAAUGUGGAGACUAUAUACAGGGGGUACCGAUACAGAGUCAAUGUGGAGGCUAUAUACAGGGGGUACCGGUACAGAGUCAAUGUGGAGGCUAUAUACAGGGGGUAACGGUACAGAGUCAAUGUGGAGGCUAUAUACAGGGGGUACCGGUACAGAGUCAAUGUGGAGGCUAUAUACAGGGUAUUACGGUACAG
ensembl:lncRNA